UCCCUUGUGCUCUUCACAAUGCAAGUAAUGGGUCUUCAUCGGCUUCUCCUUGCUUGGAAGGAAGCACAGUCAGGCUGACCUCCUCCAGAAGGACACAAAACAAAAAGGUACCCUGGACUGUGGGUGCUACCAGGCAACUAUUGCAAAACACUCGACUGUUUCUCAGCAAUGGAAGAAGAAACCAAGGGAGUGCCCAUGUGAGGCUAGAGAGACACACAGUUAUGCUUGGCACAGAAAGAACCGAGAGGGUGGGAAUUAACACUGUGUCAGUCAGUUACAAGACCUCUCAUGGAAAUCUCAAAAAAAAUCUCAUCCAAAAGCCCUGCAACCAAGUCAGAUAACAAAGAUGAUCACAGCCUGCUAAUUUUACGUUCCUCAGGGCUCUCUUUACCUACCUCAUAUCUGUGUGCCUUUCUGAUCUAUUUCCUGGACCAUUGUUCUCCAUUUUGACUCUCAGGCUAGCAUGGAAAAACUUCUCAUGGCCCAGUGGUACGACAGCUCUCUCUAUAGACCUGCUGCUUCCAUCAUCCGCCAGUCUAAAUUGAGCCAUAACUUCUGGAGAAAGACCUGGCAGGGUGAAUUUUACCCAAUGCUGGCUGUUUGUGGAGAAUCACUACACGCAGCCUGCAAUCCAUGCCUCCUGAAUACAGCCAGAGUAUGGGAAAAGGUCUGAGCAGAAAUUAAAAUCAGCCUCUUGGGUGCCACUGCAAGCAAGCAAAGUUAGCACCCUCCCACUGACACCCUUGGCAUGUAAGCACCCAGCAGUUAGCAGAGUCUCCACAGUAUUUAUGGAAAACUGAUACCUAUAAGCAUUUGUGGAAUUGCAUGAAAGGGGGAAAAAUGUUUUGAAUGAUAUAUUGCUGUGCAUGCAGCUACCGUGUGGGACCUGGACAAUCAGUCUCCUGUAUCAUGAUAAUCAUAUGUUGUUAGUAGUCUUAUCAUCUUCACUGCCACAAGUGUUCAUCUAUGUUUUUUCCCCUUGGUGAACCACAAGGUCAUUUCCAGUCCCUGGCAGCAAGCUCACUGCCUUAAAAUGAACAGGGGGAGUGAUUGCAUGUGAGAAAAUAGUGCGCUGAAAGAAGGAAUUGGGCGAAUCCGACAUCCCUCGCUUUCUCUGGAAGAGCUGUUUCCUGAGUAGGUGGAUCAGGGGAAGGUGGAGACGUCUGGGAGCACUGACUGCACGGGGCUCACUGAAGACAGAGGGCUGAGCUCUGACCUGACAUCCUUGGUAGUGACGCUAAUUAAAUGUGCAUUAUGCAGCAAGGAGCCACAUGUUGAAUACAAGACAGAACUGGGUGGUCCCUCGACGUCUACCUGUUACACGGGAGCUAAAAAGCCACGCAAUUGUUUCCUCAAAGAUUUGCAGUCAGACUGUGUUCGUGUCAGUUUAAGGCAGAUCACAGCCUCCCAAAGAACUUCAAAGGUAGAACAACAAGCACACAGAAAAAAAUGUUGUCUGCACUGAAUUCCUCUGGAGGGUCACUAAGGCACUGCAAAGCCAGCUAUGGGUUGAAUGUGCUGGCUUGUCCCUAGCCUUCCACUAAAGUGUGGAUCUCUGCCUGCAAACCUCAGCACUUAGAAAAGGAGAGAUGUGUGGAACAGUCUUGUCUCAAGAGCAGGGAUACAAACAGCAUCUCUGGAUUGACAAGUUUAUGCAUGUGAUCUGCUGUGCCUGGGGACCACAAGGCUUGACCUGCACCCUAUUGCAAUGCAGAAACUGAGAGUGGUGUACAGGGUCAAAGCAAAGUUUCUGGAUCAGCCCGCUAGCAUAUUUUCAAAACCAGCCAGGGAUGAAUGAGUAGGGAAGUGUAAGAGAAACAUGGCAAGCAGAUGAUCCAGCUCAUUACCACCUUCUCAGCUGCUGGUAGAUGUGAAACUUGAGUGGAGUAUGAGUUGGAGCAUGCAGCUGAACCUCUGUGCUCUGCAGCACCAGUUAGUUCAGCUUCCCAACUCUGACUAAGUCCAGUUGAAACCCUUUUAGACUGGGGGCCUCCAUGACAUCUGGUGGCAAUGAGUUUCCCAGUUUAGUUAAGUAUGGUAUGGAAAAGCAUUCCUUUGUAUUUAUUUCAAAUUGGCUGCCUGGCAGUUUCAAAGGAGUUCCCAUUCUGUCCUAUCUAAUUUGGAGGAUGUGUGCCCACUAGCUAGACCACAGGACUGGAUCUCUGAAUUAAUUCUAUUUUCAUUUUUGUCAUUCUUCUAAAAGAGUAGGUAUUAUUAUUCACUGGAAUGAGUUUCACCUUCAGCCAGCUCAAUUAAAAUUAGUCCAAGCAAAUAGUGAUCCGGAAUUUGGACUGAAAUAACAAUUGAGACUAAUGUUCUUUGUAUACCUGCAAAGAACGGAUAGAAGCUAAACUAGGCAAUAAAGGUAAAAAUUCUAUUUUACAUUUCCAAUGCCUGGAUCGAUUUGUGCAAUUGAAACUGCUGCCAAGAUGUUACAAAAUAACUUGUCGUACAGUGGUAGACCCUAUUAUACAGCAGGAUGCCUGUAGUUACAGAAAGACAUGAUGAGACCCCACAUGAAAGGGAAAAAUGUGUAAUUUCUAAACACAACAAUUUACAUACCGACCUAAGAAACAUCCAUCUAUCUAGCUGUUGUAAUUGUGCAGCUUGCUAUUUCUAUUGACCUGUCUUCAUGUCACUUGUUGUUUGACAGUGAAAGAGCCUAAAAACCUAGAAAAAAUUCAGCAAGACCAAAGAGUGAUUAACAACCUGCGUUAGCAGGCGAACAACCAAACAGCUGAGAGAGGUUCACAGAUAUAAAGGUGCUGCUCAAAAUGAGAA